AAGGCUAUACUUUCAGGGAUCAUUUCUAUAGUAUGUUACUAGAAAGAAAAUGACUCUGACUUUUAGGUGUGAAGGAAAUAUGUCAAAGCAAUUUUAUAUUCCUGA
rnacentral:snoRNA from 1 species